rnacentral:tRNA from 1 species
GGAGAGGUGCCAGAGUGGACGAUUGGGGUGCUCUCGAAAAGCACUGUGGCCUUCGGUCACCGUGGGUUCGAAUCCCACCCUCUCCGCCA